UACGAAGGGUGCUAGCGUUGUUCGGAAUUACUGGGCGUAAAGGGUGCGUAGGUUGUUUGGCAAGUUAGUGGUGAAAGCCCAGAGCUUAACUCUGGAAUUGCCAUUAAAACUGCCAGGCUAGAGAGUGUUAGAGGUGAGUGGAAUUUCUAGUGUAGGAGUGAAAUCCGUAGAUAUUAGAAGGAACAUCAAUGGCGAAGGCAGCUCACUGGGUCACAUCUGACACUGGGGCACGAAAGCGUGGGUAGCAAACAGG
rnacentral:rRNA from 1 species